rnacentral:rRNA from 1 species
GGCGGCCUAUCCAUGCGAUGUCGAGCGGUAGAGAGGUGCUUGCAUCUCUUGAGAGCGGCGGACGGGUGAGUAAUGCCUAGGAAUCUGCCUGGUAGUGGGGGAUAACGUUCGGAAACGGACGCUAAUACCGCAUACGUCCUACGGGAGAAAGCAGGGGACCUUCGGGCCUUGCGCUAUCAGAUGAGCCUAGGUCGGAUUAGCUAGUUGGUGAGGUAAUGGCUCACCAAGGCGACGAUCCGUAACUGGUCUGAGAGGAUGAUCAGUCACACUGGAACUGAGACACGGUCCAAACUCCUACGGGAGGCAGCAUUGGGGAAUAUUGGACAAUGGGCGAAAGCCUGAUCCAGCCAUGCCACGUGUGUGAAGAAGGUCUUCGGAUUGUAAAGCACUUUAAGUUGGGAGGAAGGGUACUUACCUAAUACGUGAGUAUUUUGACGUUACCGACAGAAUAAGCACCGGCUAACUCUGUGCCAGCAGCCGCGGUAAUACAGAGGGUGCAAGCGUUAAUCGGAAUUACUGGGCGUAAAGCGCGCGUAGGUGGUUCGUUAAGUUGGAUGUGAAAUCCCCGGGCUCAACCUGGGAACUGCAUCCAAAACUGGCGAGCUAGAGUAUGGUACAGGGUGGUGGAAUUUCCUGUGUAUUGGUGAAAUGCGUAUAUAUAUGAAGGAACACCACUGUCGAAGGCUACCACCUGGACUGAUACUGACACUGAGGUGCGAAAGCGUGGGGAGCAUACACGAUUAGAUACCCUGGUAGUCCACGCCGUAUACCAUGUCGACUAGCCGUUGGGAGCCUUGAGCUCUUAGUGCUGCAUCUAUCGCAUUAGGCUGACAGUCUGUAGAGUACAGACCGCUUGUUAAAACUCAUUUGAAUUGACGGGGGCCCGCGCAAGCGGUGGAGCAUGUGGUUUACUUCGGACCCACGCGUAGAUCCUUACCAGCGCCUUGACAUCCAAUGAACUUUCCAUGAGAUGGAUUGGAUGCCUUCGGGAACAUUGAGACAGGUGCUGGCAUGGAUGUCGAUCGUCUCAUGUCGUGAUAUGUCAGGGCUGAGUACCCGAUAGCGCGCGUCAGCACAUCGUCUUACGUACUCCUCACGUCAUGGCUGGCACUCUACGCAGACUGACGUUGACCAACAGAUGAUGGAGGGGAGAUGCCACCUCCUACCUACUCGGGCCCCUUAACGCCCGUGCCCUACCCACGUGCUACAAUGGUCCGGUACAGAGGGUGCCAAGCCCCCGGGGUGAAACCUAUAUCUC